rnacentral:tRNA from 2 species
GCAGGGGUUGCCAAGCCUGGCCAACGGCGCUGGACUUAAGAUCCAGUCUCAUAGGAGUUCGGGGGUUCAAAUCCCUUCCCCUGCA